UUUUUUGAGAGUUUGAUCCUGGCUCAGGAUGAACGCUGGCGGCGUGCCUUAUGCAUGCAAGUCGUGCGAGCGUAGCUCGCAACACCCAGCCUUCAACAAACAACAUACAACUUUGUUAUGAUACGUAUAUGGCUUUUCGAUUUCUAAAAUUUAAAGUCUAUCAGGAUGCCAAAAUACUUCAUAGAAAAGUUGUACAGGUGACAAAAAAAUUUCCAAGUGAAUUUUAUUACCUUAAAGAUCAAAUACGGAGAAGUUCUCUUUCUAUUAUUCUUCAAAUCGCCGAAGGUUCGGCAAAAAGAUCAGAUAAAGACUUUAACAGAUAUAUAGAAAUGGGAAUGGGUUCUGCAAAUGAAACGUCUGCAGCAUUAGACGUGAGUUAUGAACUUGGAUUCAUCACAGAAUUUGAACAUAAAGAACUCCUACUAAUUUGUGAAGAGGUGGUGAAUCAACUUGGAGGUUUGUCAAAAACGUUGUUAGUUGUUGGUUGAGUGUUGUGAGUUGCGCGAGCGGCGGACGGGUGAGGAUAAGCAAGGAACGUACCUCGAACUUCAGUAUAGCUCGUCGAAAGACGGGGUAAUGCGGAAUGUGGACGCAAGUCUAAAGGGCGUAACAACCCGGUUUGAGAGCGGCCUUGUGGCUAUCAGCUAGUUGGUAGGGUAAAGGCCUACCAAGGCGAUGACGGCUAGGGGGCGUGAGAGCGCGACCCCCCACAAUGGCACUGAGACACGGGCCAUACAACUACGGUUGGCAGCAACAGGGAAUAGUCGGCAAUGGACGAAAGUCUGACCGCGCGACGCCGCGUGAGGGAUGAAGGCUCUCGGGUCGUAAACCUCUUUUGUUCUGUCGUCGAGACAGAAAGAAUAAGCACCUACAAACUACGUGCCAGCAGUCGCGGUAAUACGUAGGGUGCAAGCGUUAUCCGGAUUCACUGGGCGUAAAGUGUCGUGUAGGCGGUAACCCGCAUCGUGCUUGAAAGCCCGAGGCUUAACCUCGGCGUUGGGCACGAGAUGGGGUCACUUGAGGGAGGCAGAGGAACGGGGAACUCAUGGUGAAGCAGUGAAAUGCGUUGAUAUCAUGAGGAACACCAAAGGCGAAGGCACCGUUCUGGGCCUCUCCUGACGCUGAGACACGAAAGCUAGGGGAGCGAAGCAGAUUAGAGACCUGCGUAGUCCUAGCCCUAAACGCAUGCCUGCUAGUUGCCCCGAGCAAUCGGGGUGACGUAAGCUAACGCGUUAAGCAGGCCGCCUGGGGAGUACGAUCGCAAGAUUAAAACUCAAAGGAAUUGACGGGGACCCGCACAACCGGUGGAGCGUGUGGUUCAAUUCGAGACAAAGCGAAAGACCUCACCAGGUCUUGACAUGCUACCGUUUUAGUCUCCUAGAAAUAGGGGAUGAUCCGCAAGGAUGGUAGCACAGCUGCUGCAUGGUUGUCGUCAGCUCGUGCCGUGGGGUGUUCCCUUAAGUGGGAGAACGAGCGCAACCCGUAUGCGAUGUUACAAGUGUCAUCGCAGACCGCCCGCUCUCAAAGCGCAGACGCUUUGAGAGAAUUAUCCAAUAAUCCAAUAGUCAAAUAAUCCAAUUUCCAAUAAAAUGCAAAAAGUUUUAUUGGUAUUUAUUGGAUAAUUUGAAAUUGGAUAAUUGGUAGUAUUCUCUCAAAAUGCUCCGCAUUUUGAGAGCGGGAGGAAGGAACGGACGACGUCAAAUCAGCACGGCGCUUAUGACCUGGGCCACACACACCCUACAAUGGCGAAGAACAAUGGGACGCGAGGUAGUAAUGCCAAGCAAAUCUCCAUGAAAUUUCGCCUCAGUUCAGAUUGAGGGCUGCAACUCGCCCUCAUGAAGUCGGAAUCGGUAGUAAUCGCAGAUCAGCAGGCUGCGGUGAAUACGUUCUCGGGUCUUGUACACACCGCCCGUCAAGCCAACAAAGUUGGAGGCGGCCGAA
rnacentral:rRNA from 1 species